rnacentral:rRNA from 1 species
CCCUUAGACGUUCUGGGCCGCACGCGCGCUACACUGACCAGUGCAACAAGCAUCCGUCCUUGGCCGACAGGCCCGGGCAAUCUUUGAACGCUGGUCGUGAUGGGGAUAGACUUUUGCAAUUUUUGGUCUUCAACGAGGAAUUCCUAGUAAACGCAAGUCAUCAACUUGCAUUGAUUACGUCCCUGCCCUUUGUACACACCGCCCGUCGCUCCUACCGAUUGAAUGGUCCGGUGAAGCGUUCGGACCGUGGCCUUUGGACGGUUCGCCGUCUGUUGGCUGCGGGAAGUUCGUUAAACCUUAUCAUUUAGAGGAAGGAGAANUCGUAACA